rnacentral:rRNA from 1 species
GACAGAGUGGCCAAGCGUUAGGCGGAAUCACGUGGCUUAAAGCGUGUGUAGGCGGAUGUAAGUACCUUGUAGAAAUCCCACCGGGCUCACCCGGUGAACCGCGUGGGUAUACUGGGCAAUCUUGGGCCAUUCAGGGGCAACUGGAACAAGCGGUGGAAGCGGUGAAAUGCGUAGAUAUCGGCUUGGAACGCCGACGGUGAAAACAGGUUGCUGGGAAUGUGCCGACGCUGAGACACGAAGACCAGGGAGGCAAACGGG